UACGUAGGGGGCGAGCGUUGUCCGGAGUUACUGGGCGUAAAGGGCGCGCAGGCGGUCUGGUAAGUUUGGCGUGACAGUGCUCGGCUUAACUGAGCAAGGCCUUCGAAAACUAUCAGACUUGAGCACUCAAGAGGGACAUAGAAUUCCGGGUGGAGUGGUGAAAUGCGUAGAUAUCCGGAGGAAUACCAAAGGCGAAGGCAGUGUCCUGGGGAGUGUCUGACGCUCAGGCGCGAAAGCUAGGGGAGCGAACAGG
rnacentral:rRNA from 1 species